rnacentral:lncRNA from 1 species
GCAAACCUUUCUCUCUUCAACGCCAUCUUCAGAAUCACACACUCUUUCCCCCAAUCCCCACUACCCACUUCUCCGAUUCCCUUCACCCCCUCAAAGUUCCACUCUUUUUCCAAAAUCACAAACACCCAUUUCGCGUUUCAUUAUAACCUAAGGAGUUUCAGUAAUGGGUCAAGCGAGUUGGAUCACAACAAGGAGGUGGACGAAAUCAACCUCAAAUUUGCAGAAGCAAGGGAAGAGAUAGAGAUGGCGUUGGAGUCCAAAGAGACGGUUUAUUUCAAUGAAGAAGCUGAGUGUGCCCGUGCUGCCAGAAUCACACCCUCUUUCCCCCAAUCCCCACUACCCACUUCUCCGAUUCCCUUCACCCCCUCAAAGUUCCACUCUUUUUCCAAAAUCACAAACACCCAUUUCGCGUUUCAUUAUAACCUAAGGAGUUUCAGUAAUGGGUCAAGCGAGUUGGAUCACAACAAGGAGGUGGACGAAAUCAACCUCAAAUUUGCAGAAGCAAGGGAAGAGAUAGAGAUGGCGUUGGAGUCCAAAGAGACGGUUUAUUUCAAUGAAGAAGCUGAGUGUGCCCGUGCUGCCGUAAAUGAUGUUUUGUCCAAGUUCGAAAGUUUGUUGGCGAAAUUGCCGGAGAAGGAGAGAGGAGCUUUGCAUA